rnacentral:rRNA from 1 species
UACGAAGGGGGCUAGCGUUGCUCGGAAUUACUGGGCGUAAAGCGCACGUAGGCGGCUUUCUAAGUCGGGGGUGAAAUCCUGGAGCUCAACUCCAGAACUGCCUUCGAUACUGGAGAGCUUGAGUCCGGGAGAGGUGAGUGGAACUGCGAGUGUAGAGGUGAAAUUCGUAGAUAUUCGCAAGAACACCAGUGGCGAAGCGGCUCACUGGGCCGGUGCUGACGCGUGGAGGCGCGAAGCGUGGGGAGCGAACGGG